CCCUUAGAUGUUCUGGGCUGCACGCGCGCUACACUGAUGCAUCCAACAAGUUUUUUCCUUGUUCGAGAGGACUAGGUAAUCUUUUGAGAAUGCAUCGUGAUGGGGAUAGAUUAUUGCAAUUAUUAAUCUUCAACGAGGAAUUCCUAGUAAGCGCGAGUCAUCAGCUCGUGCUGAUUACGUCCCUGCCCUUUGUACACACCGCCCGUCGCUACUACUGAUUGGAUGUUUAAGCGAGGUUCUCGAACUGCUAGCGACUUAGCUUCGGUGAGGUCGCAGUGUGGGAAGUGAACCUAGCUUUGGUGUCUAGAGGAAGUAAAAGUCGUAACA
rnacentral:rRNA from 1 species